UACAGAGGGGGCAAGCGUUGUUCGGAAUUACUGGGCGUAAAGGGCGCGUAGGCGGCCCGCUAAGUCGAACGUGAAAUCCCCGGGCUCAACCCGGGAACUGCGUCCGAUACUGGUGGGCUUGAAUCCGGGAGAGGGAUGCGGAAUUCCAGGUGUAGCGGUGAAAUGCGUAGAUAUCUGGAGGAACACCGGUGGCGAAGGCGGCGUUCUGGACUGCUACUGACACUGAUGAACGAAAGCCAGGGGAGCAAACGGG
rnacentral:rRNA from 1 species